UAAUACAUAGUUCAAUCGGUAGAGCAAAGGACUUAAAACCCUUGUGUUACCAUUUCAAUUAUAGUUUUAUGGA
rnacentral:tRNA from 1 species